rnacentral:misc_RNA from 1 species
ACCAAAACCUCCUCAGAAACCUCAUUUUCCUCUCUAACCAAAUUCACAUACUCCUUAAAAGCAAUCUCACGUAAAUUUUCCGGGUCUUUCGCGACCAAUAAAACUCCAUUAUCCCAACCCCUGUCUCCUCUCUUUAAAUUAUGAAGAACCCGCGAAUCAUUUUUCAAAUCAGGGUCGUUUAAAGCUAAAUUAGGCAACAAAGCCACCGAAUUGGGUCCAUUAUUUGCAGUUUUCCUAUCCUCAGAUAUGAUUUUGAGCAAAUAAAGGACAGCCCACUUGUUAUUAAUGCUACCAGGCCCAGUUUUUAAUGCGAAUUUGUUAAAAAGAUCGGCGAAAGUAAGAGCCUGCGAGGACUUACCCUGAGUGGCAAGGCGGCGCUUUAUAGACUCAGCGAUAGCAGCUGCAUCAGGCGCAAUCGAGGGAGUUAAUCUGCUAGAGAGAAUACGGAUAGCGUAGCGAAGAGCAUUUUGGAAAUCGGGUGCAUUAGGGUUGUGGUUAGGGUUUGAAUUAGGGGCUUUAGAACUGGGGUUUUGGGAGAGUAAGCGAUGGACUAGCUCCUUGACUAGAUCUAGGAUCUUCUGCUGGUCUUCUUCCUCCAUUCCUCUUUUUUCCUUUUCUCAGAGAAAAGAGGAGAAAAAAAGAUAGAAAGCGAGUAAGGGGUUUGAUCAGCGUGUGAGUUGCUGAG